AGGUUGGAGGGAUAUUUAUGUCCAUAUCCUUCGGAGCUACUCUUGACAGUAGAGCACUCCGCAGGUGAGUCACUGUUCAAUGAUGAUGUAUUGAUGUGAGAUAAUCCUAAUGAAAAGAAAAAGAAAUCAAUCCUAAAGAUCAAGCUCCCUUUUGUUCAUCAACAACAAAUCACAUCUGGUCAAGAGCAUCAUUAUUCUCAAGAUAGAUAAUAUAGUUGCCCAUACUCUGCUCAGGAGGCAUGAUUGAUUGAUAUGAGAUCAAAGCGAGAUCAAUCUAAAUGAUGCAGAUGAAUGUCAUUCUGAAAAUCAAUAAACAACUAGCAAUAAGAAAGUACAUAAACAGAUAGUAGAAAUUAAACAUGCUUAUGAGUAAAUAGAAAAAGAAAUAUGAAUG
rnacentral:lncRNA from 1 species